rnacentral:rRNA from 1 species
UCGGGUUGUAAAGCACUUUUGUCCGGAAAGAAAACUUCGGGGCUAAUACCUCUGGAGGAUGACGGUACCGGAAGAAUAAGCACCGGCUAACUACGUGCCAGCAGCGCGGUAAUCGUAGGGUGCGAGCGUUAAUCGGAAUUACUGGGCGUAAAGCGUGCGCAGGCGGUCUGUUAAGACAGAUGUGAAAUCCCCGGGCUUAACCUGGGAACUGCAUUUGUGACUGGCAGGCUAGAGUAUGGCAGAGGGGGGUAGAAUUCCACGUGUAGCAGUGAAAUGCGUAGAGAUGUGGAGGAAUACCGAUGGCGAAGGCAGCCCCCUGGGCCAAUACUGACGCUCAUGCACGAAAGCGUGGGGAGCAAACAGGAUUAGAUACCCUGGCAGUCCACGCCCUAAACGAUGUCAACUAGUUGCUGGGGUUUCAUUUCCUUAGUAACGUAGCUAACGCGUGAAGUUGACCGCCUGGGGAGUACGGUCGCAAGAUUAAAACUCAAAGGAAUUGACGGGGACCCGCCCAACCGGUGGAUUAAUGUGAUUAAUUCGAUGCAACGCGAAAAACCUUACCUACCCUUGACAUGGUCGGAACCCUGGUG